UGUGGGAGCGGGCUUGCUCGCGAAAGCGGUGGGUCGGUCAAUUAAUCUAUCGACUGACACUCCGCAUUCGCGAGCAAGCCCGCUCCCACA
rnacentral:misc_RNA from 1 species